GGAAACCCUGACACAGAAACCCUGGAGGCUACUUUAGAGAGUUCCGAGUGAAGAAACCCUGAAGGCCGCUCCUCCGCUCCGAAGCUACCGCCGCCCAACUCCAUCCGAUACCAAAAGCGAUCAGUCUCUUCAACAUAGCAGCUUAGUUGCAAGCAGGUUUGCGCAUCACUAUUGUUUUAUGCUUUUAAUCGGUAAUCUCUAUAUACAUAAAGCAUCAUGAUUGAAGUUUCGAAUAUGUAAUUUGAUUUCACAUGCGAAUUUAAAUAUGCUUGAAU
rnacentral:lncRNA from 1 species